CAUCGGUGACAGGUGGUGCAUGGUUGUCGUCAGCUCGUGUCGUGAGAUGUUGGGUUAAGUCCCGCAACGAGCGCAACCCCUAUUGUUAGUUGCCAUCAUUCAGUUGGGCACUCUAGCGAGACUGCCGGUAAUAAACCGGAGGAAGGUGGGGAUGACGUCAAAUCAUCAUGCCCCUUAUGACCUGGGCUACACACGUGCUACAAUGGUUGGUACAACGAGUUGCGAGUCGGUGACGGCGAGCUAAUCUCAGAAAGCCGGUCUCAGUUCGGAUUAGAGUCUGCAACUCGACUCUAUGAAGUUGGAAUCGCUAGUAAUCGCGGAUCAGCACGCCGCGGUGAAUACGUUCCCGGGCCUU
rnacentral:rRNA from 1 species